rnacentral:rRNA from 1 species
CCCUUAGAUGUUCUGGGCCGCACGCGCGCUACACUGACGGAGUCAACGAGUUGUCCUGCAUCGGAAGGUGUGGGUAAUCUUUUGAAACUUCGUCGUGCUGGGGAUAGAUCUUUGCAAUUUUCGAUCUUGAACGAGGAAUUCCUAGUAAGCGUGAUUCAUCAGAUCGCGUUGAUUACGUCCCUGCCCUUUGUACACACCGCCCGUCGCUACUACCGAUUGAAUGGUUUAGUGAGGCCUCGGGACUGGCGCGCUCGAGUAGCAAUACACCUGCGCGCCGGGAACUUGGUCAAACUUGAUCAUUUAGAGGAAGUAAAAGUCGUAACA